rnacentral:lncRNA from 1 species
GCAGGCCUCAGGCAGAAGCAGACAAGAAGGGUAAGAAGUAAAGGAGAGGGAGGAAAGGAGUUGAAAGAAUAAGAGAAUGAGGUGAAAGCUGAAGUCCCCACAGAGGGAAAUGCCACAAGACUAGGCCGUGCAACAUUUCCGCAGUGCUCCUCGCUACAAAGACAUUCCCCUAAGGCUGGUGGGCAACUCAACACUCAGCUCAGUACGUGGUCAGCUCGUCCUCCAUAGGAGCCUUAUGCCUUGGUGAGGAGAUCUCUGAAGAAAUUGCUGAUGAAAGUCCAACAGGCUCUUCCAGUUUGUCUGGUCGGUCACAUUUGCUGAAACCUGGAGGAAUUGUUAGUGGAAGCUCAACAGGCCUGACUCAGUCUGACUGUCCAUUCUUCUGGAAGCUGCAGAGAAAAGAAACCUGGAAACCUUAUAUGCUGACAAAAAGGGACACAAUUGGAUAUGAUGGUUAUUUUACCAAGGUUUUGAAAUGUCGUGCUUUCAAAUAUAAACAGACUGCUUUAAGGAAUCGAAGUUGACUUAUAGAGCCAAUAAAAGCCCUGCAGGAAAGCUGGCCUCAUACUUUGUCUACACAGUCUCUGUACAGGUUUCCUGACCUGUGCUUCCAAGUUGUCUGAGGAGCCUUAUGAAGAGGCUCACGUGGUGAGGAACGGAAAUUUACUGAAUAAGCUCAGAGGGAGAUUCUCCAGCUCCUUCAGAUGACUGCAG